rnacentral:rRNA from 1 species
AUUAGAUAAAAAACCAAUGCCCUUCGGGGCUUUCUGGUGAUUCAUAAUAACUAAACGAAUCGCAUGGCCUUGAGCCGGCGAUGGUUCAUUCAAAUUUCUGCCCUAUCAACUUUCGAUUGUAGGAUAGAGGCCUACCAUGGUUUCAACGGGUAACGGAGAAUUAGGGUUCGGUUCCGGAGAGGGAGCCUGAGAAACGGCUACCACAUCCAAGGAAGGCAGCAGGCGCGCAAAUUACCCAAUCCCGACACGGGGAGGUAGUGACAAUAAAUACUGAUACAGGGCUCUUUUGGGUCUUGUAAUUGGAAUGAGUACAAUUUAAAUCCCUUAACGAGGAACAAUUGGAGGGCAAGUCUGGUGCCAGCAGCCGCGGUAAUUCCAGCUCCAAUAGCGUAUAUUAAAGUUGUUGCAGUUAAAAAGCUCGUAGUUGAACCUUGGGUCUGGCUGGCCGGUCCGCCUCACCGCGUGCACUGGUCCGGCCGGACCUUUCCUCUUGGGGAUCCGCAUGCCCUUUACUGGG